rnacentral:lncRNA from 10 species
GCUAUGAAGUGGGUAUGCAACACGCCUGCUGAGCUCCAGAGGCUAUUUGCCAAAUACCAUGGAGGAGGCAUCUCCCUGGAAUACCUGAGCGCCCUUGUUCACUGGGAUGGUCACAGCAAGAGACUGAUGCCUCUGCACACCUGCACAUCUGAGAGGCAGAGUUGCCAUUGACCCUUCCUUGAAAUGCCUUGAGGCCAGAAACACUGAGGGCAUCUUAUUUACACUUAACUCCAUCUUGUGAAAAAAAUGGAGCAGCAAAACUAAUAGCCCAGAUUUGGACCCCAGGAUGACAAGCUCCAAGAUGGUGGAUAAUUUUCCUUCUUGACCAUAGCGUUAAACCUAGCCAUUGUGAUAAAUAAAGUGACUUUUGGCUUUAUGACUUUCAGUGUAAAUAUUGGAUUACCUUAUCUAUUCAAAGGACUUCAGAAGUGUUGUCUGUUUUUAGGCAAAUAUUCUGGUCACUGAACACCCAGAGCCACUAUCAAAAGCCAGUAAUGGUUUAAUAGUUGUUUUAUGUCUCUUUGUACUGCU